GUGCUUGUGAAACAUAUUUUUCUUUUUUCACACUUUCCUUUAAUAAAAUAUUUUAUUGCUGAAAUUACUUCGGUUCGGCUUCUGUGUUCAUGUGACGCCAAAGGAGUGGUUUAUCAGGAGGCAGGAGACAGACUUGGAUCUUUAGCUUACCGAGCCUCAGUGUUGCAGAGUCUAGACAUGACUACAGAGGGAGGGACAUUCAAAAGAGGAAAACUGGCCAUCCGUGGAAGAGUGGUGUAGGGAUUAAAACCAUUGAUCUCAACCGUUUUUGUGGCCUGUUCAAGGAGUUCCAUACGGUCCAUGUCUAACUGGAGCAGUUGGCGUGAUAAGGCUCGGGACCAGCACUCCUGUUGUUGGACAGAAAGACAUCAG